rnacentral:rRNA from 2 species
UUCCGGUUGAUCCCGCCGGACCUGACUGCUAUCGGAUUGAUACUAAGCCAUGCGAGUCAUUGUAGCAAUACAAGGCAGACGGCUCAGUAACGCGUAGUCAACCUAACCUAUGGACGGGAAUAACCUCGGGAAACUGAGAAUAAUGCCCGAUAGAACACUAUAUCUGGAAUGGUUUGUGUUCCAAAUGAUUUAUCGCCGUAGGAUGGGACUGCGGCCUAUCAGUUUGUUGGUGAGGUAAUGGCCCACCAAGACUAUUACAGGUACGGGCUCUGAGAGGAGUAGCCCGGAGAUGGGUACUGAGACACGGACCCAGGCCCUAUGGGGCGCAGCAGGCGAGAAAACUUUGCAAUGUGCGAAAGCACGACAAGGUUAAUCCGAGUGGUUUGUGCUAAACGAACCUUUUGUCGGUCCUAGAAACACCGAUGAAUAAGGGGUGGGCAAGUUCUGGUGUCAGCCGCCGCGGUAAAACCAGCACCUCAAGUGGUCAGGAUGAUUAUUGGGCCUAAAGCAUCCGUAGCCGGCGCUAUAAGUUUUCGGUUAAAUCUGUACGCUCAACGUACAGGCUGCCGGGAAUACUGUAGCGCUAGGGAGUGGGAGAGGUAGACGGUACUCGGUAGGAAGGGGUAAAAUCCUUUGAUCUAUUGAUGACCACCUGUGGCGAAGGCGGUCUACCAGAACACGUCCGACGGUGAGGGAUGAAAGCUGGGGGAGCAAACCGGAUUAGAUACCCGGGUAGUUCCAGCUGUAAACUAUGCAAACUCAGUGAUGCAUUGGCUUGUGGCCAAUGCAGUGCUGCAGGGAAGCCGUUAAGUUUGCCGCCUGGGAAGUACGUACGCAGGUAUGAAACUUAAAGGAAUUGGCGGGGGAGCACCACAAGGGGUGAAGCCUGCGGUUCAAUUGGAGUCAACGCCGG